AUCGAACGCUGGCGGCAGGCUUAACACAUGCAAGUCGAGCGGAGAUGAGGUGCUUGCACCUUAUCUUAGCGGCGGACGGGUGAGUAAUGCUUAGGAAUCUGCCUAUUAGUGGGGGACAACAUUCCGAAAGGAAUGCUAAUACCGCAUACGCCCUACGGGGGAAAGCAGGGGAUCUUCGGACCUUGCGCUAAUAGAUGAGCCUAAGUCGGAUUAGCUAGUUGGUGGGGUAAAGGCCUACCAAGGCGACGAUCUGUAGCGGGUCUGAGAGGAUGAUCCGCCACACUGGGACUGAGACACGGCCCAGACUCCUACGGGAGGCAGCAGUGGGGAAUAUUGGACAAUGGGCGGAAGCCUGAUCCAGCCAUGCCGCGUGUGUGAAGAAGGCCUUUUGGUUGUAAAGCACUUUAAGCGAGGAGGAGGCUACCUGGAUAGUGGACGUUACUCGCAGAAUAAGCACCGGCUAACUCUGUGCCAGCCGCCGCAGUAAUAC
rnacentral:rRNA from 1 species